rnacentral:lncRNA from 1 species
UGCAGCUGAUCAUCGACAAGUCGACGGCAAUUGCGAUGAAGAGCUCACAGGCUGGGCGUCCUCUCGGCAGCUCCGGAGAUGACGGUGAGCAGGUUGUUGCCGAAGGGGUCGCUGAGGUGCGCAGAGAGGUUCUCAACGGGGCCCUCGCCAGUGACGUAUGCCUGGAUGAAGAAACCCAGCAUGGAGAACAUGGCUAGCCGGCCGUUCUUGAUCUCCUUCACCUUGAGCAGCGCCGCCUGGUCGGGGUCGCUGGCGAGGCCGAGCGGGUCGAAUGGGCCACCGGGGUGGAGCUUGUCCUCAAGAUCCUGCCGGAGAAAUUGAUGAAAACCGUUGGUCAGUACAAAGUUCCUAAUUGCAGCUCAACUUAUGUAUAUGUUUGAGGUGUUACUGUCACUGACAAGGCCGUUGAUGAUCCUGUAGUACUCGGCGCCUCCGACGAGGACAACCUCGGCGACGACGGCGAGGAUGAGGUUGAUGGGGAUGCUGUUGCCGAAGUAGUUGAGGGUGUUGCCGUCCAGGAGAAGAGCGCCGGUCUGCAUAUGUGUUUGUUCAUGGCACCGUGAGUUUAAACUUCAGAGUUCUGAAUCUGAAUCUGAAUGUGUGAAUACUGAUGAGCAAUUAC